GACGAACGCUGGCGGCGUGCCUAAUACAUGCAAGUUGAGCGCUGAAGGUUGGUACUUGUACCAACUGGAUGAGCAGCGAACGGGUGAGUAACGCGUGGGGAAUCUGCCUUUGAGCGGGGGACAACAUUUGGGAACGAAUGCUAAUACCGCAUAAAAACUUUAAACACAAGUUUUAAGUUUGAAAGAUGCAAUUGCAUCACUCAAAGAUGAUCCCGCGUUGUAUUAGCUAGUUGGUGAGGUAAAGGCUCACCAAGGCGAUGAUACAUAGCCGACCUGAGAGGGUGAUCGGCCACAUUGGGACUGAGACACGGCCCAAACUCCUACGGGAGGCAGCAGUAGGGAAUCUUCGGCAAUGGACGAAAGUCUGACCGAGCAACGCCGCGUGAGUGAAGAAGGUUUUCGGAUCGUAAAACUCUGUUGGUAGAGAAGAACGUUGGUGAGAGUGGAAAGCUCAUCAAGUGACGGUAACUACCCAGAAAGGGACGGCUAACUACGU
rnacentral:rRNA from 1 species